rnacentral:rRNA from 1 species
UACGAAGGGGGCUAGCGUUGUUCGGAAUCACUGGGCGUAAAGCGCACGUAGGCGGAUCUUUAAGUCAGGGGUGAAAUCCUGGAGCUCAACUCCAGAACUGCCUUUGAUACUGAAGAUCUUGAGUUCGGGAGAGGUGAGUGGAACUGCGAGUGUAGAGGUGAAAUUCGUAGAUAUUCGCAAGAACACCAGUGGCGAAGGCGGCUCACUGGCCCGAUACUGACGCUGAGGCACGAAAGCGUGGGGAGCAAACAGG